rnacentral:tRNA from 1 species
GGGCCCGUAGUCUAGUUGGCUAGGAUGCCGCCCUGACACGGCGGUGGUCCCGGGUUCGAGUCCCGGCGGGCCCACCA